rnacentral:tRNA from 1 species
GGGGCCGUAGGGUAGCCUGGUCGAUCCUACAAGGCUGGGGGUCUUGUGACUGGAGUUCAAAUCUCCGCGGCCCCA